rnacentral:rRNA from 1 species
GGCAGGCCUAACACAUGCAAGUCGGACGGAAACGACAAGAACAAUCACUUCGGUGUGCGUUCUUGGGCGUCGAGUGGCGGACGGGUGAGUAACGCGUGGGAAUCUACCCUUUAGUUGGGGACAACAUAUGGAAACGUAUGCUAAUACCGAAUAUGCUCUACGGAGUAAAGGUGCCCUCUCCUUGGAAGGUAUCGCUAAAGGAUGAGCCCGCGUUAGAUUAGCUAGUUGGUAGGGUAAAGGCCUACCAAGGCGACGAUCUAUAGCUGGUUUGAGAGGAUGAUCAGCCACACUGGGACUGAGACACGGCCCAGACUCCUACGGGAGGCAGCAGUGGGGAAUAUUGCACAAUGAGGGAAACCUUGAUGCAGCCAUGCCGCGUGUGUGAAGAAGGCCCGAGGGUUGUAAAGCACUUUCAAUUGUGAGGAAGAUUAAGUAGCUAAUACCUGCUUAGUUUGACGUUAACUUUAGAAGAAGCACCGGCUAACUCUGUGCCAGCAGCCGCGGUAAUACAGAGGGUGCAAGCGUUAUUCGGAAUUACUGGGCGUAAAGCGCGCGUAGGCGGACUGUUAAGUCGGUUGUGAAAGCCCUGGGCUCAACCUAGGAACUGCAUCCGAUACUGGCAAUCUAGAGUUUAAGAGAGGGAAGUGGAAUUCCAGGUGUAGCAGUGAAAUGCGUAGAUAUCUGGAGGAACAUCAGUGGCGAAGGCGACUUCCUGGCUUAAAACUGACGCUGAGGUGCGAAAGCUUGGGUAGCGAACGGGAUUAGAUACCCCGGUAGUCCAAGCCGUAAACGAUGUCAACUAGCUGUUGGUCUUAUUAAAAAGAUUAGUAGCGUA